CUAUUUUCUAUGCUCUGAGUUUGUAGAGCAUGCUUAGGAACAUCAGUGAGGGAAGUUACAUCAGCUGGAGUCACUGACUAACCUGUGAGAAAAACAAGCACAAAAGAUUAAUGGUGCAGUCAGUGAUGAUAUAGAGGAUGGGAAUUCAUCCAGUGCUGUAACCAUCCACAUCAGAAGAGGAAAAGGAAAAAAAAAAAGAUUGUUUUACUGGAUAUUGCAUUAAUUCCUGCUUGAAAUGAAUUUCAUUCUGGACUGAAAUUAGUGUUUUCUAAGUGUUCAGAUUUACUUCUGAGUAGACAUUUUUUAUCCUGGACAUAGUAAAAAAAAAAAAAAAAAAAAAAAAAAGAGAGAAAAUGCUAGGAUUUUCUUUUAAAAAUACAAGUAUUUCUUCUUUCAACUGGUAUUGUAUGUUUCCAUUGUCGGCUAAUUUCUGCUUUAUUUACUGUCAAUUCAGUGCUCAUCUCUCUGGGGUGAUUUCCUCAAUAAAAUGAGAAGGAUUUAGUAUGAUGCACAGAAAACUUCUAGUCAUUUUCCCAUGGCUGGGUGAUUCUGUCACAUUCCCUUCACUACGAGGACUCCUACCUGCUCUUGUGAAACCACCUCCUGCAGCCGAGGUUGCUGCUGUGCUGGUGUGAGCUGGCUGGCUGCUGCCAUUUCUCUGACAGCUCCAUAACCUUCAGGGCAUGGCUGGAGCUGAGCGCCUGGUGCUCUCAAGGAGACAGUUUGCUUGUGACAGAAAUAUAAACUGCUUUUGAUAUAUAGCACCAAGCUUCGCUCCUCUAUCUUUGUGUUGGGAAACUUGCACCUCUUUAGGCUGACACUGCAGUCAGGAGUCAUCCCAGCAGGUUUAGGUUAGGCUCACCAGGUUAUUGUCUGCUAUUUUGUACUUUCUUCCUUGUCUGCUGUGCUCCCCACAACUGCACGACUGCGUUAGUACGCUGUCUCCGUAGCCUUCAUCUUCUGUUUCACAUUAACUCACUCUGGAUGUACGUGACAGAACAUUUGCUUUUCCCUGGCAGCAGCUGAAAUUUUCCUUGAUGAGCCUGAGAUCAAACGUCUGUAUUUGCUCAGAAUGUGUAAUCUUUCAUUUUCCAAAAGUGAGUUACUAAUUAACUGUCAAACGGGAACAAAAUGUAAACCAAGACACUGCUGUCUCCCAGACCUUUCAGUGCUCUCAUCUGGGGCUCCUUGAGCAGCAUCCUAAUGUGAAUGCCACUCACUGAAGAUGCAGAACAAGAAUGUUCAGUGCUCUGUGUAGCAGGAUAUUCAGCCCAUUUGCAGUAUCAAGAAAUCUAAAAGCUUUUUCCUUGGCAGGAACAACCAGCAGGAAGACAACAGGGGUAGGUUCUUCUACUCAGUAGUUAAAAAUGAAUAGACAGAGUCCCACUAGGCAAAAGUUGGUGACAGAGAUGAAGUGAAAGUAGACUUCUCUAGAAGCUUGUCUUGCAGUUGGGAUUGACAAGGUCUCAUCUUUCAUCUUGGCCUCUAAUGAGCAGCAUUUUCUGUCUAAUAGCUAUAUUUGUUUCAGUUUCUAUGUCUGGUAAAGUUUUCCAAGCCUUUUGAAUUAAAGCUAACGCUCAGUCAAAAUGCAGUUGCCUAUUUUAAAGGCACUUCCAUUUUAGACUGGUACUAGGAAAAUAUACACACUACUUUAUUGCCUACACUGUAUUUUCCGAGUUAUUUUUCACACUCUAAUCAAAGUAAUGCCAUAUCUGUUUGCUGAUAUGUUUUUAAUCACUUGUCGUUCAAAUAAAUUGCUUACCACACUAAUUAUAUAAUUGGCUUUUCAUCAUGCAUUUCCUUAAUACUUCUACAAGACAAAAUAAUGGUUUGCACAUGUUGCAUCUGAAGAAUUGUGCUUUUGCCAAAAUUGUGUUUGCCACCUAGCUUUCUCACUCCACUGUUAAAAUAACAUGACAUGGCUGGCAUUAUGCAUUCAAGUGCUACAGAGUUUCUGAACUUUUUGUCUGAGUAGUCAUCAUACAACUGGACCUACACAGUGCAACCAGGAACUGAAUGUGACAUCCUAUACCCCUUCAUUUCAAAGAGGCCAGGAUGUCAUAAUUAAUCUUCUGACAAUAGAGAAAUGGAGGAGGUUGGGUUUUAUAAAUAAUUGUGGGGGAAUUGUCAUGCUUAUAUACUGCGAAAGACAUCAGGACAGCAAAACAGACCUCUCCCUUCUGUCACUGGUUUCAUUUGGUCCCAGUGGUACAGUAAGGGACUGUCUGCUCAGAGUUUUAAAAACUUUUCCUUUUUCUGUUUAAGAUAGGCCUACAUUCUGUAACCAGCCUGGUGGUGGGCUAGUGUAACUUCUGUAAACUUAGACUCUUUUCCAGCACCACCUUCCCACAGCCAACUCUUGUUAUCUGUGUCUACAGAGCUUAAGCACUCAUCUGUAUGUAGUUUGGCCCAUGUCUGUAGUGCUAAAGCACUUUUCUCAGUCUUUUAGACAAACUUGUUUAUAUUUUGGGCAGGGAUAGGAUUACUGGGAGAACAAAGGAAUAGUCAAGUACUGGGAAGAGCGUGAAAGUAGUCAUGCAUACAUGCUUUGUGCAGAUUGUGGCAAGCUCCUGUCCUAUCUGAAGUUCAGUUCUGAAGUUACUCUCCUAGCUAUGCAACUCGGGGUGUGAACUGGUGCAUGAAAGAUCCGGAUCUCUGCAGAGCACGUGGAAGUUUGGGAAUUUUGUUUAGAAGCACCAAGAUUAAAUUCAAUUCCUACAAAGUUGUGCAACAGCAUCUUGCUUACUUCCUUGAACAGUUUUUUGUAUUCUUCAACAAAAAUGCCUCAAAGAGAAAGAGCUGAAGAUUUUCCCAUCUUGAUUACUAAUGAUUUACCUGAGAAAAUGAUUUAACUUUUUUCUACUGUUGCAGUCACUGCCCUGAUUAUAGAGAGAAGUUGUCAGACAGAUCCAGGGAAAAAGGUGUUUCCAUUCUUUAGUAGAGUCCCACUAACAUAACAGUUUUCUCUUGACUCCCAAAUUCAUUUCGUGCACAGUUUUUAUAAUGCAGAGUCACACAGUGAGAACAUUCACCUGUUUGAGACGGGAAGAAAGGAGUCACCGUCUGGCCUUCUCUCUGAAGCGUCAAAUGUGUGGCAUACUCAUUUAAUGCAGGAGCUCCUGCAUCCCCAGAAGCUUCUCAUGUACUCAUUUUCUCCAUCUUGUAGCAUUACAGACUGCCUGAAUUCCAAUAUUGAUAUGUCUCAUUCCAGCGAGAUCCUUCACAUAUGCUAAGUGUAAGAGUGCUUCCAAGUAAUUUACUCUCUCAAGGAUCCAGUGCUAGAGAUAAUAAACACUAAAAUGGAGAUAUCGAGCAAAACCAAAACAGUGAACUCUUAAGUUAAACUUUACAUUUCAUACGUAUUUCUUUAUAUCCACUCUUUCUCUUUCCCAUCAUUAAAGAGACUGGGAGACCUAGUUUUUCACAGAUCCUUACGGCUGUACAAAUAAUUGAUUUUACAGUCCAAAAUCUCCUGUCUCAUCCUUCAUCCCCUCAAAAAAUAGUUCAAAUUGGUCCAAAAUAAAGAAGAAAAUUAUCCCCGCCAAGAACAAUAACUCAUUUUGUACAUGGGCUUUUGUAGUGAAACUAGAAAAUUGGCUGAGAUUUACAAAAAUUGUGGGAAGGAUGAUGAAUUAUUUUGCCUACUGGCUCUGAUGUUCAUGCACUCACGCAAGAUGCAGAUGAUGUAAAUCUUACUCUAUCCAUGUUGCCACCUCAUGCUAAAUGUCAGGAGAGUUAGGUAGUCACAGGCAUGUGAAGCAGUAACCUUGGCAUGGCCAUCUCUUCUUUCACUGUUUAAACAGAGUGCUCAGCAGGGCUGCGUGAACUGAAGAAAAUGAAUCUCAUUUCAUAUACCCUACAAGAGAGCAGCUAUUCUGUAAACUGAGAAGGAUUCAGAUCCUGUAAAUCAAAGUCCUUCCCUGUUGGCUAUUGGGUGAAUCAGGUUGUCCAAUUAGGCUGUGGAUGCCCCAUCCCUGGAGGCAUUGAAGGCCAGGCUGGAUGUGGUUCUGGGCAGCCUGGUCUAGUGUUUGGAGAUCCUGCAUGUAGCAGGGGGAUUGAAGCUAGAUGAUCAUUAUGGGCCUUUUCAACCCAGGCCAUUCUAUGAUUCUGUGAUUCUAUGAUCUUGCACUUUUGUUUUAGCCAGAAAUGGCCAAAGCUAAGAAAGCAUAACAGAUAACAUCCCAAGACUGGGAGCAGAUUUGGUCAAGGCAACACUGCUUUCUCCAGUGUAUGUAUUUUUAGGACAGAACGUGCUUGCCCCCAGGCAAGGCCCGGAGAGCAGCGCACAUCCAGCUGGUGGCGGCAUUGCCAAACCUCCGUGCCACUGCUAGAAAUGGGUGGUAGUUCCCACAUGGGUCACUUGGCUGCUGGAUUGGCUGCAAAGACAAUUUCAGGUAGUAAGACACAUUCAGCUGGUCUCUGCACCUCCCAGCAGCACCCAGGAAGCCUCCCUUCUGUAAUUCCUCUGAGCAUAACCUGCAGACAAAUUGAAAGCUUCCUUUCCUCAACAGUGUAAAAAAGCGUCGCGUUUGUGUCAGGAAUUUUAAAACCGAGUUGCAUGGAUUUAUAGGGGACAUCUUGGCACAUAUUUAUUGCUAAAUCUGUUACAUUGUCAGCGUUGCUCUAAGACGGGUGCUGAAGGCAGGAUUGUGUAUGCUGCUGGCACUGGUGCUGCAAGCAGUCCCAGUCCCUGCACCUGUCACGCCUCAACUAUUCACAUGAAAAGCACACCUAUUACUGAUACACGUCUCCUCCCAGCAGCUUAAAGAUUCCAGCUGCUUUCUGAGAUCAUAAAAGGCCUGCUCAACCAUGACUUCAAAAUGCCAGGCUAUUCAGCAAGCCAGGCCUAUUUCAGACUACUCCCUAAGUAUUUCAUACUUCAGCGUUGUUGUAAAUAAUGGCAGUAAUUUUUUUCCAGCAGAGCAUGCUGUGUGAAAUUAUGAAUUGAGGAGAUUUCCAUGCUGUUGUAUUUGAUUCAGUACCCCAUUGUCACUGAUGUAAAGUGUUGCACUGAUACACUGUCAUUCAUUUUGUGGGACAGCAGGACCUGUAUGAGGCUUUUGCUCGUGCAUAGUGUGCCUUGGUUUAUCGGUGCAGGAUCUAGGGCUGGAUUUUGGAGUGUGCUGGAGAACAGGAUCAUUCUUUCAAAAUCAAAAUUAAACAGGGAUCAGUGUGUGAGAACUUUGUUUCAGUCCUCUUAUGCAUGUCCAUCCUUAUAAGGAAAAUAAUAGAGGAGGGGGAAAAAAAUACAAAGGAGCAUUUGGUAUAAUUUUCUAAUUUCUGCAUAAUAGUUAAGCAAGGAGACACAGGUUUUAGAGGGAGUUGAGGGAGAGAAAAGAAGGAAUCAAAUGUUGGCUUGACCCCAGAAUGUUUAAAGCCUGAUUUGCCCUUACAGAACAAAAAUACCAGCACAGAAGUCUAACAUGCUGGGAAAUAUUACACAACAGUGCAGACAUGUCAAACUACCUUGAGAAAACCUGCAAAAAGUUGAAAGGUUUUUGGCCCUCAUGUAAAUGAACUGGAUCUUGUGGCAUUAUUUUUGAACUCUUCUGAUACGUAACACUUGAAAUAUUUUUGAUCAAAUGGCUUUUCUCAAGCAAUUACACAUUCUUAAUUUAGAGGCCAGUUCAAAUGAUUGCUUGUUACCUUCAUUUAGCAAAGGUUCCACUGCUCUGGUUUUCUGAUCCUUUUAAAAAAGGCAAACAGGGAGAGUUUACACAAUAAAAAUUCUUUUUUUUUUUUUUUUUUAAUUCUCAAAUUAAUUAUUUUGAAAUAUCUCACAGAUUACAUCAGUUUCUUACUUGCAUUCAUGUUGCAAGAUGGCGACUAUUGUAUAUUGCUAGUGAUGCAUUAAAUUAGUUGUUUACAUUAUAAAAUCUAAACAUAUUAGAAUCUUUUGUGUUUGUCUUCAAAGAUUCCUAUUCUAAUAAAGCUUUCUGAAACAA